rnacentral:sRNA from 1 species
CAGGAUUUAACUAUCAGAAUGAAGAUGAAAAAGUCACCUUGUCUUUCCCUAGUACUCUGCAAACAGGUACGGGAACCUUAAAGAUAGAUUUUGUUGGAGAGCUGAAUGACAAAAUGAAAGGUUUCUAUAGAAGCUACUGAUGCCCGAAGGGCUUUUCCUUGCUGGGAUGAGCCUGCUAUCAAAGCAACUUUUGAUAUCUCAUUGGUUGUUCCUAAAGACAGAGUAGCUUUAUCAAACAUGAAUGUAAUUGACCGGAAACCAUACCCUGAUGAUGAAAAUUUAGUGGAAGUGAAGUUUGCCCGCACACCUGUUAUGUCUACAUAUCUGGUGGCAUUUGUUGUGGGUGAAUAUGACUUUGUAGAAACAAGGUCAAAAGAUGGUGUGUGUGUCCGUGUUUACACUCCUGUUGGCAAAGCAGAGCAAGGAAAAUUUGCGUUAGAGGUAAAUGUACUUGAAGAGGAUUGUUCCAACAGUCCAUAACUCCAGGUUGGGGAAUUUACAUUUCUGGUCAAUUAUUAGUACAGUUAUUUAUAAUUUAAUCUGAAAGUUGUGCUACUUGGUUUAUUUUUAAUAGAAUUUAGGAAAUGCCAACCUUGGUGUUUCAUUAUUUUACAAAAUAAUAAUUAAGAGAAUAUAAGAGUGGAAUGUCUCUAGGGAAUGGGUUGGAAAAUAUGUAGUUACAUU